CGGCGAGUGAAGCGGCAACAGCUCAAAUUUGAAAUCUGGCCCUAGGCCCGAGUUGUAAUUUGUAGAGGAUGCUUUUGGUGCGGUACUUUCCGAGUUCCCUGGAACGGGACGCCUUAGAGGGUGAGAGCCCCGUACGGUUGGAUACCUAGCCUCUGUAAAGCUCCUUCGACGAGUCGAGUAGUUUGGGAAUGCUGCUCAAAAUGGGAGGUAAAUUUCUUCUAAAGCUAAAUACCGGCCAGAGACCGAUAGCGCACAAGUAGAGUGAUCGAAAGAUGAAAAGCACUUUGAAAAGAGGGUUAAAUAGCACGUGAAAUUGUUGAAAGGGAAGGACUUAUGACCAGACUUUUUCUAGGCGGAUCAUCCGGUGUUCUCACCGGUGCACUUCGCCUAGUUAAGGCCAGCAUCGGUUUCUGUAGAGGGAUAAAAGCAGCAGGAAUGUGGCUCCUCCGGGAGUGUUAUAACCUGUUGUAUAAUACCUUUAUGGGGACCGAGGUUCGCGCUUCGGCAAGGAUGCUGGCAUAAUGGUCAUCAGUCACCCGUCUUGAAACACGGACCAAGGAGUCGAACAUUUAUGCGAGUGUUUGGGUGUUAAACCCUCACGCGUAAUGAAAGUGAACGGAGGUGAGAGCCUUAGGGUGCAUCAUCGACCGAUCCUGAAGUCUUCGGAUGGAUUUGAGUAAGAGCAUAACUGUUCGGACCCGAAAGAUGGUGAACUAUGCGUGGAUAGGGUGAAGCCAGAGGAAACUCUGGUGGAGGCUCGCAGCGGUUCUGACGUGCAAAUCGAUCGUCAAAUCUGCGCAUGGGGGCGAAAGACUAAUCGAACCAUCUAGUAGC
rnacentral:rRNA from 1 species